CUCCUUUUUCUAAUGAUGUUUGAAAAACUCCAAACUUUUUUUAGACCCAUUUUUGCAGAUUUAAUAUAUAUCCUGUCCCUGUCGGCUUCUUUUUAGGAAACCAACGCAUUAAAAUAGGAUAUGUUAUAGUAGGAAUUCUGAUAUGGAAGCGUUACAGGAUCUGGAAGAAAAACCGCCGUCCCACUGAAAAGACAGAGGAUGAACCCAAAGAACAAAAAAAGUCUCCAAAAACAGUUCCACGUGAAGACUUUGAGAAAAUCGAGUCCCUGAAUGUGAUUGUUAAGGAUAUAUGGCAUCUUCUUUCCAAAUACGUGGAAAAGAUGAUUCGAGAGAGGAUUCAGCCUGACAUACGCGCCAAAAGCAAUUAUCUUGCCUCGUUCCGUUUCAUCAAUAUCGAUUUUGGCAAGAAGGUAAUGAUCUCUUUCUGUACUUGGGUUAUUCCUCUUCUUGUAAAUAGAUUUCUUGUAACACCCCAAUCUUUAUGCUCAGCCCCCACAGGUAAAGUCUUGGAAAACUCAUGCGGAUCCAGAAAAAAAGCAAAUAAUGUUGGAUCUCGAUAUCAGGUACAUUUCAAACACCCCUUUUUUCUAAUUCCUUUGCCCACUCUGAAAUGUCCCUUCCUUACAUAAUUGUCUUUUGCUCCUUUUUUCAGUUAUAAUGCCGACAUAAAGGUGGAUGCUGGUUUUACGGAAAAAACCCGAUAGCCGGCAUCAAAUCUAUAAAGGUGAGUCUACCAGUCUUAUAUCGCGUACGUUAGCUGCUUCCUUUGCAUUUAUUAUAUAUAUAAACAUUACUUUCUCUUUUGCAGCUGGAGGGAAUCUUGCGGGUAAUUUUGGCACCGCUGAUGGAGGACUCACCCAUAUUUGGAGCACUGACCGUUUAUUUCCCUCAUCGUCCAGUAAGUUAAGAUUUGGAGCUGGUAAGAUGAAGGUAGAAUUCAUAUGUAGUUAGGAAACCGUUGAUAUUUCUAGUUCUGUAGUCUGAACUCUUCAAUGUGACUGUGCAUUUAUUGCAGGUAUUGGAACUACAAUGGACUGGAUUUGCCCACCUACUGAAUAUUCCUGGACUUCAGUAAGUUGACUUAUAUGUACUCAUACUCUGCCCUUCCUUUCCCAGCUAUUGCUUUUGUCUUUAAUCAAAAACGUUAUUGCGCUUUAUUCCUCUCCCAAUUCCCUACCUGCUCUAUCUAGCUUAUUUGUACAUUGGAAUAACAUACAUAUUUCCUUCUCCCAUCUCCUUCAGAACGCUGUCGGAAAAAGAGCUUGUGAACCAAAUCGGACAGAUCAUCAUUGCGCCGCAGCAUUUCAGCCAUCCCCUUGCAGCCAGAUUUGAUUUGGCUAAGCUGCAGUUUUUAGAACCCAGGGUAAGGCCUAGUUUGUAUUUUAUAGCCUUCCUGCUUCCCUGUAGAGAGUCAAGGGGGCAAAUUCACUAAGAUUCGUUGUUGCGCCAGCGUCCGCUUCGCCGCACUUUGCCUGGCGUA